AAUUAAAUCAGCUAAUAUUAAGCUAUUGGGCUCAUACCCCAAAAAUGAGAGGAUCUCUUUAAUUG
rnacentral:tRNA from 1 species